CCCACCUCUUCUUCCUUCACCCCUCUUUCUCCGUACCGAUGGCGUUGAAUAUUUCCACCUUGUAGUGCCGUUUGUUGCAUAUAUGCUGCGAGUGUUUGUUUGUUUGUUGUGCGCCGGAACAAAGCUGGCGUCCUACAGAUGUUAUCCCGACCCGGCCACUGGAAUGUAGAGCUGUGCGUUUGAGUGUGUGUGUGUGUGUGUGUGUGUGUGUGUGUGCGAUGUUUUGUUCUCUGCAUAAGUGUGUCCUCCUGUGCUUUGUGUAGUAUCUUCCAGCACAACAGACACCACAUUAGGGUAAAUCUUUUCAAAAUUGUAUUUAUUUUUACAGUUACACAGUUAAUUUUUCUAAUUAUUGAAUUUACUUCCCGGAAUGCAUUUUUCUAUAUUUUAAAUCUUAUUAUAUUUGAGAAAGUAUUUACUUAAAAAUAACUAUUUUUACUGUUUGUAUUACCGAUGUUAUCAUCCUCAUUAUUAUUGCUAUUAUUGUUAUUAUCAUCACUAUUAUCCGUAUUACUAGACUUCCAUUCAGAUCUGAAAACUAUUCAUGGCUCAUUUGAUUCCAUCUCACCGGAGUCCCUAUAUUCCAGCGGUAUCAAUUUUAUAUCAUCCUUUUACCUUGAAUUGCAAUGGCCUACAUAAACCCUUUCUCUGAACUUAUGGGUUCUGGGUUUGGUAGCCUAGCAACAGCCUCUGACCCAUGCAGGGGAAAGAGAAACAUUUUUUGAGAGGCUGACGUGCAGCCUUUAAACCCGCAAAGGACAUCGGGUUUCAGCGGAUGUAAUCUUUGAGUAUUUUGUGUAAUCGCUUGUGAUGUGUAAUUGCCUGUGUGUGUAUGUUUGUGUGUUUUUGUGUGUGUGUGUGUGUGUGCAUGGAAGAGAUUGGUAUUGUCAUAAAUGUACUGCUGACAGUUGAAAAAAGAACUACGAGAAAACUUUCUAACUCUGCUGCGUUUUUCCUUUUUCCGAUAUAACACGACGCGCUCUCUUCAGGAUGCAUUGGCUUCUUUUUCUUUUCACUGCAUAUAUUUACAAGUGGAAUUAACAGCAUUAGAUUCAUCUGUUUGGCAUUUUCUGUAUCUGUAGCCCAGAUAAUAUGAAGAGCUACCAAAGUAUCUAUUGUCCUCUUUUUCUAUUGAACUAACAAUAUUAAAACUGGAACUUUUUAUUUGUGAUUUCAUAUUUUAUCUUUGAGUCAAAAUAUGAAACAUCUUGUUUGGCGAAUGUCAUGCAAUAUUAUGUUCAGUAAUUGUAGAAUUGUAAGAUAAAAGUUUUUAAGCAACGUCAAUGGUUUCCCGUCGAGUAUUUCAAGUGGGGAAGUUUUGAGACCAAAAAAAUACAAGUUGGAUCAUCUCUCGUCUUAUCACCCAAUGUUUUUUGUUGCAGGGAGCUGUGGCGUGAAGUCACACAGAAAUACACACACACACGCGCGUGGUCUGAACCUGCACGACAACGGGUCAGAAGAAGCGCACAUGGCCGCCUGCUCUGAGGGUCAGAGGUCACCGUCUGAAUCAGAACAAGACGUCGUCACUCCGAAGAUACAGAAGGAAGACGAGGAGGAGGAGGAGGAGGAAAUCGAGAAGCAGAGUGGGUGGAGGGAUGCAAGGAGAGCGGGGUGGAAGCAGUUCGAGGAGGUGGUUCCGAGCGGGUGAACCCGGAGCAGGUGAACACAGCUGUGGAUCGCCGGGGGCUCUCUGGCUGCCCUCCUCCUGUGGCCCCGGCGCUGCUUUGCGAGGGGGAGGGGGAGGGGUGUCCCGGGGAGCCCCGGCAGGGGCCAGCCGGAGCCGCGGCGAGAGAGAGUGGGCAGGCUGGGCCAGCCCGAGCCGGGAGAGAGGCAGGUGAGGCGGGUGAGCCGGGGCCCUCGUCCCCGCCGGCUAUAGGAGCCUCUCCGCGGCGGCGGAAAUCGAUGCGGGAGGAGAGAGGCGAGCAGAGGUUGCUCAGCAGCGCCUGCGGGCCCCGGAGCCCAGGGACCGGGGGGAAAAGCACCGCCGCUCGCAGCUUUUUUUUUUUUUUUUACCGAGCCGUCCCGGCACCAGCCGGGGCCGAGGCCCCUCGCCGCCCGGCGCAGAGCGUGCGUGCCAGGAGGCUCACAUGAGGAGACGGAGAGAGAGAGAGAGAGAGAGAGAGAGAGAGAGGGAGUCUUUGUGUGUGGUUCAGCCGGAGGGUUUUUUCCUUCUUCUUCUUUUUUUUUUCCUCGCCGCGUCCGAGCACCACUUGAUAAAACUUUGUCAGAGAGACACGGAGACGGCGAGGAGGGGAGAAUGAGACAGGACGCCGAAGGUCGCUUUUCUUCCGGCUCCCUUCCCCCCCCCCCCACCCCCUCAUUGCUCAUUCCACCUCAAACCGCUCGACAAAGGAGCCACCGGAGGGAGACGGCACGCGGGACGUCCUCGGCUCGUUCCCGCUUGCCGAGCGCGAUAUUUCCUCAGAUCUGACGCGCCCGGAUGAAAGGACGAUUUGAACUUUUUCCUCUCAUCGCCGGUAUCAGACACAGCCUGUCUCUU
ensembl:lncRNA